GAUGAACGCUAGCUACAGGCUUAACACAUGCAAGUCGAGGGGAAACGAUAUUGGAAGCUUGCUUCCGAUAGGCGUCGACCGGCGCACGGGUGAGUAACGCGUAUCCAACCUGCCCACCACUUGGGGAUAACCUUGCGAAAGUAAGACUAAUACCCAAUGAUAUCUCUAGAAGACAUCUGAAGGAGAUUAAAGAUUUAUCGGUGAUGGAUGGGGAUGCGUCUGAUUAGCUUGUUGGCGGGGUAACGGCCCACCAAGGCGACGAUCAGUAGGGGUUCUGGGAGGAAGGUCCCCCACAGUGGAACUGAGACACGGUACAAACUCCUACGGGAGGCAGCAGUGAGGAAUAUUGGUCAAUGGACGAGAGUCUGAACCAGCCAAGUAGCGUGCAGGAUGACGGCCCUAUGGGUUGUAAACUGCUUUUAUAAGGGAAUAAAGUGAGCCUCGUGAGGCUUUUUGCAUGUACCUUAUGAAUAAGGACCGGCUAAUUCCGUGCCAGCAGCCGCCGUAA
rnacentral:rRNA from 1 species